rnacentral:lncRNA from 1 species
GGGGUGAUUUAAUCUUCGAUGAUCUAAGAUCAUCAUAUUUGAUAGAUCGUAGUCCAAUAAUUAAAGAGUCUCGAGUAUCCAUGAAUAACCUAUUUAGUAUUCUAUGAAAAUUCAAACCUACUGACCAUGCAUAUAAUACCAAAACUACCCCUAUCAUAUUUCAUAAAAAUAUAUUUAUUAAUCAUAAAAAAUAUUAAUAUAUUUAUUAAUAUAUUCAA